GACGAACGCUGGCGGCGUGCUUAACACAUGCAAGUCGAACGGAAAGGCCCUGCUUUUGUGGGGUGCUCGAGUGGCGAACGGGUGAGUAACACGUGAGUAACCUGCCCUUGACUUUGGGAUAACUUCAGGAAACUGGGGCUCAUACCGGAUAGGAGCUCCUGCUGCAUGGUGGGGGUUGGAAAGUUUCGGCGGUUGGGGAUGGACUCGCGGCUUAUCAGCUUGUUGGUGGGGUAGUGGCUUACCAAGGCUUUGACGGGUAGCCGGCAUGAGAGGGUGACCGGCCAAAUUGGGACUGAGAUACGGCCCAGAAUCCAACGGGAGGCAGCAGUGGGGAAUAUUGCACAAUGGGCGGAAGCCUGAUGCAGCAACGCCGCGUGCGGGAUGACGGCCUUCGGGUUGUAAACCGCUUUCGCCUGUGACGAAGCGUGAGUGACGGUAAUGGGUAAAGAAGCACCGGCUAACUACGUG
rnacentral:rRNA from 1 species